rnacentral:rRNA from 1 species
AACAGGAUUAGAUACCCUGGUAGUCCACGCCCUAAACGAUGUCUACUAGUUGUCGGGUCUUAAUUGACUUGGUAACGCAGCUAACGCGUGAAGUAGACCGCCUGGGGAGUACGGUCGCAAGAUUAAAACUCAAAGGAAUUGACGGGGACCCGCACAAGCGGUGGAUGAUGUGGAUUAAUUCGAUGCAACGCGAAAAACCUUACCUACCCUUGACAUGUCAGGAACCUCCGAGAGAUUGGAGGGUGCCCGAAAGGGAGCCUGAACACAGGUGCUGCAUGGCUGUCGUCAGCUCGUGUCGUGAGAUGUUGGGUUAAGUCCCGCAACGAGCGCAACCCUUGUCAUUAGUUGCUACGCAAGAGCACUCUAAUGAGACUGCCGGUGACAAACCGGAGGAAGGUGGGGAUGACGUCAAGUCCUCAUGGCCCUUAUGGGUAGGGCUUCACACGUCAUACAAUGGUACAUACAGAGGGCCGCCAACCCGCGAGGGGGAGCUAAUCCCAGAAAGUGUAUCGUAGUCCGGAUCGCAGUCUGCAACUCGACUGCGUGAAGUUGGAAUCGCUAGUAAUCGCGGAUCAGCAUGUCGCGGUGAAUACGUUCCCGGGUCUUGUACACACCGCCCGUCACACCAUGGGAGCGGGUUUUACCAGAAGUAGGUAGCUUAACCGCAAGGAGGGCGCUUACCACGGUAGGAUUCGUGACUGGGGUGAAGUCGUAACAAGGUAACC